AUAGUAUAUUAUAUACAUGUAGUUCCUUUGCAACAUAAGGUCAUUUCGGAGAAAAAGUGAUAUUAAUUUAUGUAGAACUAGUCAAAGGAAGACUGAUUGUAUGAAGUACACUUAUUAUACUCAUUCUCUUCAAAAUAUUCAUAGUUUGUCUCUGUGCAUUAUUUUUUGAUAACCCACAGAAGCUAGUAACAUUUCACAUGAUCAUGUAUAUUGGUCAUUAUCUGAUGACAGACUUGUCUACUUUGUAUUUGAAAUUUCUUUUUUUAUGCAUAUUAACAGUACUAUACAUUAGGUUAGAAUUAAUACACACUGCAAACAUGUAUAGCUAAAGACAGUAUAAAUUUGUACUACCAUUAAAAUUUGAAGUAUA